AGCGUAUAUUAAAGUUGUUGCAGUUAAAAAGCUCGUAGUUGAAUUUCGGGGUUAGUAGGUUGGUCAUGCCUCUGGUAUGUACUGGUCUCACUGAUUCCUCCUUCCUGAUGAACCUUAAUGCCAUUUAUUUGGUGUUUUGGGGAAUUUGGACUGUUACUUUGAAAAAAUUAGAGUGUUUAAAGCAAGCUAACGCUUGAAUACAUUAGCAUGGAAUAAUGAAAUAGGACGUUCGAUCCUAUUUUGUUGGUUUCUAGGAUUGACGUAAUGAUUAAUAGGGAUAGUUGGGGGCAUUAGUAUUCAAUUGUCAGAGGUGAAAUUCUUGGAUUUAUUGAAGACUAACUACUGCGAAAGCAUUUGCCAAGGAUGUUUUCAUUAAUCAAGAACGAAAGUUAGGGGAUCGAAGACGAUCAGAUACCGUCGUAGUCUUAACCAUAAACUAUGCCGACUAGGGAUCGGAUGAUGUUAAUUUUUUAAUGACUCAUUC
rnacentral:rRNA from 1 species